rnacentral:rRNA from 1 species
CCUACGGGAGGCAGCAGUAGGGAAUCUUCCGCAAUGGACGAAAGUCUGACGGAGCACCGCCGCGUGAGUGAUGAAGGACUUCGGUUCGUAAAGCUCUGUUGUUAGGUAAGAACAAGUGCCGUUCAAAUAGGGCGGCACCUUGACGGUACCUACCCAGAAAGCCACGGCUAACUACGUGCCAGCAGCCGCGGUAAU